GAAGGGUAGUUAGCCUCCACUAUGACGAGUCCAGAAUGAAGGGAAACAAAGGGUGCUUGGGAGCACAGAAGAGGGGCAUUUUACAGGAAACUAGGAGGAGCUUGGAAGUCUUUCUGGAAGAUACUGAUCCCUGAUGCAAGUCUUGAAAAAUGAGGAGAGAGUGUGGCGUUGGUAGCAUUUCAGAUGCAGGGCAGGAAGGAGGAGCACAAUCAGAAAUGCAUGUUGUUGAGAGAGGCAGGUUCCACAGUGUGAGUGCGGGCAUAGCCUGAGGUGAGGCCAGAGGUGUGAGCAGGGUCCAGGCCAGCUGAGAAGACCGUUGACACCACAGAAGGAUGUUAACAGGAAGGUUUUAUAUCCCAAGUGAGAAUUUUUAUGCGAGCAGACAUACUUUGAAAGUGUAUUACUCUUAUUGCACUUUAUUGCUAUUGGACAGCGAGAAAGCUGUGCCAGAUGGAUGGCCACUUACCGAAGGCGCAGUGGGCACCAGAUCGUUCUCCGUUCUUCCUGUCUGCAUUGCUGUGUGAACCCGGACCGAUUCAUAAAUGGAAGGCUCUUCCACUUUUCUUGGAUAGGGAUGUUUCAGAACAAUCAGAGUGCCUGAAUGGAGGGGAAACACAUAUUCAUAUAGUUUAACAAUGAGAUAGCUGUGCCUGGAUCGUAGUCUCUUGUUUGUUCAUGUAUUCACUUGUCUAUUUUCUCAGCAUUCACUGAGUACCACCAUGUGAGCUGGACACUGGAGAUACGAGGUGUGAUGAGAUGAUUUCUGGCUUCCUAGUGCUCAGAGAGAACUAUCAAUGGAUAUCACUUAACCUAAUAGUCAUUUACUUAUUUCUUUUUCUUUCUUUUUUUGUUUUAAUGAAUAGUCAUUUCAAUGAGCAGGGUAAAAGACCAAUGUCGGCGAUAUGAACAAAGCAGGCUGGUGGCUUUCGGAGAACUAACCCUGAAGAGCUAACCCUUCCAUGGAAUGAGUCAGAAAAUCUUUCCUAGAAAAGGCGAUAUUGAUCUAGACCUUAAGCAAUAACUGGAUGUUUCCCAGUAGACUUUACAAGAGUCACGAAUCCAAACCCCACGAAUGCACUGGAAUAUAGGAGGAUUUAUCCACUGCCCAUAUUUCUGACUUGCUUUAGAACAAACUUGUAACAAAUCACUGGAUCUCAAAAAAGUGUACUCACAGCUUCUCUCUACUGUCUCCUACCACCGAACUAAUGAAAUAAACUAACCAAAGCCUUUGCGUA